CUCCUUUUGUGCGCUGAUUUCUAGGUGUGCUCCGCAGCGAAGGCAGUUUCUGCCAUCUCCUAUGUGACCCUGGCACAAAUGUUUAGAAAACGCGUUAAUAACGCGAAUGUGUUUGUGUGGGUUUUUCUUAAGCCCAUGACAAAGCACUAUGAGGUCUGAAUGGUCUCUUCUGAUGUUUUUCGUAUCUUAUAAAUGAGGAUUCCAGAGGCUGCAGCAGCGCAUUUCCUUGUGCAGGAAAAUGAAAUGGGUUGCCAAAAGAGGAACAAUGACACGGAGAUCAAUCCUAUCCAUAAGGCAAAUAAAGAAUAGGUGACUGAUCUUAAAAGCAGCUAAUGUAAGAGUUUAUCAAAGCUAUCACCUUCUUCUCAUUCGUUAUCAAGAAAUGUUUCAUGUCACCAUUGCCUAAAAAUCAGAGCUCAGCCCAGGACAACAUGGGUCAGAGAAAUCCUGAGCUGUGAAUCCUAUCUCCAUGUUUUAUCUGUUUUGCUUUGCUCUUUAUCCUCUGUUGCUUAAUAUGCAUGUAUAUUAAAUUAAACUAAAAGUGUAUUUAGGACUUAGUUUUCCCAUUGUUGGUAAUUCAAAUUUGUAUUUGCAAAAUGUCGUGCAUUUAAUGAGGAAAGGAGCGUGAGGUUGCAGAUUGUAGAUUGUAGAGAAUAUUGUACUAAUUCUUUUUAUAAAUGGUUUAUUAAACAAAGCACUACAUCUAGGUUCUAAAUUUAUUACCUUUCCUAAGGUAGCUUAAUUGCAUAUCUACUUCCUAAACAGUUCAAGAUGUGUUUCUGCACUAGUGAUUUUGCAGUGUAACAAUGUGCAUUCUGCCAUAUCACUCUCAGAUCAAACACCUUUGCAGACAGUGCAUUUUCACAAUGGCAAAUGGUACUUCAGAGUCCUCUUUGAAUGCUGGCCACAGUACAUACUUCUAGUAGCAAAGUGCUCUUAGACUUUGCAGCUGAAGAAUAUUGUAGGCAUCUUCUUUUAAUCUUGCUUGUUUCCUUCUUGUUAUGUUAUCAUUCAGAGUAAGCAUUUUGAGCCAAAUUAACAUGGAAGGUAUUGAAAGUAUAUGCAAAAUAGGCAUUGAAAGAAAACUGUUCAAAUGCAGAAUUUUUCAUAAUUAAUGGAAAACCACAAUUUUUCAUGUUAUGAUUACCCCAAUAGGAUGGAAAACAACAGUAAUUGUAGCUGGCUUUUUUUUUUUAAUUGAUUUUCAGGGUUUUUUUCCUCAAUGGUAGAUAUUUGAUCUUAUUGCCACAUUGUCUACUUCUGGUGUGAUUUCCUUGUUUAAUUUAGAACCAAAAUUUGAAGACUACAAAACAUUCUUACAGAAGCAGUAAGCACUAAUAAAUUAAAUGUAAUGUUAUAAGAAAUUGUGAAGAUAAUGCCUCAGUACUUAAUGGCUGUGAAUAUAAAUUGACUGGGUAUGUUAAGAAAGAAGGUUUAUUUUAAAAAGGUGGUAUCUUUACUCUCAGGUCUGUUUUACAGAGUUCUGUGAAUUGGGAAAAAAAAAAAAAAAAACAACAGAACAGAGAAAAUGAAUGUCUAUUCUAAAUAAUAACAAUGAAACCAAAGAAAGAAAUAUGAAAAGGCUUAACUGAAAAUUCUUGGCAUAAUAGGAGUUAAACAAUGUAAGAGUAGAAGGAAUUCUUCUUUCCUCUGUAACCUAAAGGCAGCAUAGUAAGAAUAAAAAAAUGUUCCACAAUAUAUAAUGUCAGAAUAAUUAAUGAAAAUAACUGUUGCUACUUGAACAAUUUAAAACCAGCAUUUUACAUUAUGGCAAUUGACUUAUGAUUACUAAAGCACUUCAUAAAGCAACAAUAAUAUUUAUUUGAAACUGCAGAAUUAAGAAGGUGGUACGUUUGAUGUACAUUGCCAGUCCAUUUGAAAACAGUUCUUCCAUACAGUACAAAAAUAAACUCAGGCAAAAUUAUACAUGUAUAAGGUACAUGUGUUAAGCAACAGAAGUUCUUUGCAGUUAAAUAGAUGAGAAUUGUUCUACACACUUGACUCCACUCGCUAUAAAAAUUUCCAUUUAUCUCAGUAAGAUUACUGUAACAAGGAGAGCAAACUAUGUGUUGCAGUUUCCAUAGUGUUAUGGCUCUAUAUCACUACUCCUAUAUCUUACCCAAAUGGAAACUAAAAAAAGCCAUUUUCCACAACAGCAGCAAAACUAAAGGCAAGGAAGAACACAUUCUGUCCACUCAUUUAGUCUAUAUAAACCUCUGGAGCUGUAACUUGGUUUUUAAAGAAAAAUUUAAAAAGCAUAAAAUUCUGUAGUUAACUUUUCUUUUUGUCCAAGAGCAUUUGACUAAUCAAGACAAUACUGGGCUAUGGCUGAAUCAGCACUUUAAAAUCAGAGCUGGGAGAAGCAAUAAUUAUUUAAAGACUAAACCCAGCUCUGUAAUUUUUAAUAAUCUUGUUUCUCCUUGUGUCAAUCUUAUCAAGAAUGAGGAAAGACAUAGCCUUGUGGACUGAAGAGAGAUGUUAGAGGUGAUAUCUCCAAACAGCAGCUGUUCAAUUAUUCUUAACAUGCUGUGGAGAUGCAGGAAGAGCAUCCCUGUGGAAGCAUUAAGUUCUAGGAGAAAAUACUGGUUUUGCAGAGUGAAAAGGAUAUGUUCUGAAUUCAUUUGGUGCUUCCCCACCUCCUCUCCCAAGCUUAAAUGGGGUAAUAGUUCUUUUUUUUUCAAUUUGCUAUGUGUCUCCUUAUAUGUCUGUAGUCUCUGUUUCUUCCUUGUGUAUUAAAAAGGCAGUCUUUCCCAAUUUGAA